rnacentral:rRNA from 1 species
CCUACGGGAGGCAGCAGUGGGGAAUAUUGCACAAUGGGGGAAACCCUGAUGCAGCGACGCCGCGUGAGUGAAGAAGUAAUUCGUUAUGUAAAGCUCUAUCAGCAGGGAAGAAAAUGACGGUAACUGAGUAAGAAGCCCCGGCUAACUACGUGCCAGCAGCCGCGGGAAUACGUAGGGGGCAAGCGUUAUCCGGAUUUACUGGGUGUCAAGGGAGCGUAGACGGCUGUGCAAGUCUGGAGUGAAAGGCGGGGGCUCAACCCCCGGACUGCUCUGGAAACUGUACGGCUGGCGUGCUGGAGAGGUAAGUGGAAUUCCUCGUGUAGCGGUGAAAUGCGUAGAUCUUAGGAGGAACACCAGUGGCGAAGGCGGCUUACUGGACUGUAACUGACGUUGAGGCUCGAAAGCGUGGGGAGCAAACAGGAUUAGAUACCCCAGUAGUC